GGGGCCGCUCCAAGAAGUCGAACCUCAUUCGCAAUGCGAAGGUCGGGAGUUCGAUCCUCCUCCGCUCCACCA
rnacentral:tRNA from 1 species